UUUAUAGUUAGGUUUAGGUAGGGUUUAGGUAGGGUUUAGGGUUAGCAAGGUUUAGGGUUAGGUAGGGUUUAGGGUUUGAAAGGGUUUAGGGUUAGAUAGGGUUUAGGGUUAGGCAUGGUUUAGGGUUAGGUAGGGUUUAGGGUUAGGCAGGGUUUAGGGUUAGGUAGGGUUUAGGGUUAGAAAGAGUUUAGGAUCCUCCCUUUCUUUUGAAAAAAUAGAAGGAAAAUGAGCUUCUUCGGCAAAAUAGCCCCGUAACUUCGGGAGAAAGGGGGCCUCCUCACAAAGGGGGUCGCAGUGACCAGACCCGGACGACUUUUUAUCAAAAAUAUAGGUCUCCGCAAAGUCGUAAGACUCCACUGGUUUCUGCUGCUUUGGUUAUUGCUGCUGGAUUGGCUGUUGGGCUUGCUUGUAUUGGACUCCAGUCUGGUCCGGUAUGGAAUGAACUUAUAACCAUGAAAUCGACUCGAUCAUCAGAUUAUAGAUUAUAAGUUCAUAAAUUACUUGAAAAGGCUUUUUUUCAAUAUAAAGGGUUAGAAAGAGUUUAGGAUUAGGUAGGGUUUUGGGUUAGAAAAGGUUUAGGGUUAGGAAGGGGUUUAGGGUUAGAAAGGGUCAAGGGUUAGUAGGGUUUAGGGCUAGUAGGGUUUAGGGUUAGGUAGGGUUUAGGGUUAGUAGGGUUUAGGGCUAGUAGGGUUUAGGGUUAGUAGGGUUUAGGGCUAGUAGGGUUUAGGGUUAGGUAGGGUUUAGGGUUAGAAAGGGUUUAGGGUAGGUAGGGCUUAGGAUUAUAAAGGGUUUUUAGGGUUAGGUAGGGUUUAGGGCUAGAAAGGGUUUAGGGUUAGAAAGGGUUUAGGGCUAGGUAGGGUUUAGGGCUAGGUAGGUUUUAGGGUUAGAAAGGGUUUAGGGUUAGUAGGGUUUAGGGCUAGGUAGGGUUUAGGGUUAGAAAGGGUUUAGGGUUAGUAGGGUUUAGGGCUAGGUAGGGUUUAGGGUUAGAAAGGGUUUAGGGUUAGGUAGGGUUUAGGGUUAGUAGGGUUAAGGGUUAGAAAGGGUUUAGGGUUAAGUAGGGUUUAAGGUUAGGAAUGGCUUAGGUUUAGGCAUGGUUUAGGGUUAGGCAUGGUUUAGGGUUAGAAAGGGUUUAGGGUUAGGUAGGGUUUGGGGUUAGGUAGGGUUUAGGGUUAGAAAUGGUUUAGGGUUAGGCAGGAUUUUAGGGUUAGGUAGGGUUUAGGGUUAGAAAGAGUUUAGGGUUAAUAGGGUUUAGGGUUAGGAAAGGGUUUAGGGUUAGGAAGGGUUUAGGGUUAUGAUUGGUUUAGGGUUUGGCAGGGUUUAGGGUUACAAAGGGUUUAGGGUUAGGCAGGGUUUAGGGUUAUGUAGGGUUUAGGGUUAGGUAGGGUUUAGGGUUAGGCAGGGUUUAGGGUUAGGUCUUCGCAAAGUCGUAAGACUCCACUGGUUUCUGCUGCUUUGGUUAUUGCUGCUGGAUUGGCUGUUGGGCUGCUUCUAUUGGACUCCGGUCUGGUCUGGUAUGGAAUGAACUUAUAACCAUGAGAUCGACUCGAUCAUCAGAUUAUAGAUUAUAAAUUCAUAAAUUACUUGAAAGAACUUUUUUUCAAUAUAAAGGGUUAGAAAAGGUUUAGGAUUAGGUAGGGUUUUGGGUUAGAAAGAGUUUAGGGUUAGGAAGGGGUUUAGAGUUAGGCAGGGUUUAGGAUUAGGCAGGGUUUAAGGUUAGGUAGGGUUUAAGGUUAGAAAAGGUCAAGGGUUAGUAGGGUUUAGGGCUAGUAGGGUUUAGGCUUAGAUAGGGUUUAGGGUUAGAAAGAGUUUAGGGUAGGUAGGGUUUAGGAUUAUGUAGGGUUUAGGGUUAGAAAGGGUUUAGGGUUAGGUAGGAUUUAGAGUUAGAAAGGGUUUAGGGUUAGGUAGGGUUUAGAGCUAGGUAGGGUUUAGGGUUAGAAAGGGUUUAAGGUUAGUAGGGUUUAGGGCUAGUUAGGGUUUAGGGUUAAAAAGGGUUUAGGGUUAGUAGGGUUUAGGGUUAGGUAGGGUUUAGGGUUAGAAAGGGUUUAGGGUUAGGUAGAGUUUAGGGUUAGUAGGGUUAAAGGUUACAAAGGGUUUAGGGUUAAAUAGGGUUUAGGGUUAGGAAUGGUUUAGGGUUAGGCAUGGUUUAGGGUUACGUAGGGUUUAGGGUUAGAAAGGGUUUAGGGUUAGGCAGGGUUUAGGGUUAAGUAGGGUUUAAGGUUAGAAAGGGUUCAGGGUUAGUAGGGUUUAGGGUUAGAAAGGAUUUAGGUUAGGAAGGGUUUAGGGUUAAGAAUGGUUUAGGGUUUGGCAGAGUUUAGGGUUAGAAAGGGUUUAGGGUUAGACAGGGUUUAGGGUUAGGUAGGGUUUAGGGUUAGAAAAGGGUUAGAGUUAGGCAGGGUUUAGGGUUAGAAAUGAGUUAUGACUAAUUUGCAUAAAUUACAUUAAACGCAUACAAACUUUAAGACUAAUCAUGUUUAGAUAACAAGAUAAACAGUAAAUAUUCGAAAUUCAAAAACGAAGAGCAUAAAAGAUAAAUAUUAUUAGUACACUAUAUAAUACU
rnacentral:lncRNA from 1 species